rnacentral:rRNA from 2 species
GUGCGAGACCGAUAGCGAACAAGUACCGUGAGGAAAAGAUGAAAAGAACUUUGAAAAGGGAGUUAAAGAGUACCUGAAACUGCUGAAAGGGAAGCGAAUCGUAUCCAGUGUCUACAAUCUGCGGCAUAUUUCAUUGGCGGCAGUGUGCGUGCUUUUGCGUCGGAAGCGGCUUUUGUUGCUCUGUGCUUUUGCUGUGCGUGCUGUUGCUGGUGCCCUGUGUUGCGGUGGGACGUCAGAGUCAGUUCGUAUGCUGCGGGAAAUGGCCGCCGAGGAGGUAGGUCAGGACUUCGGUCUUGGCUGUUAUAUCUUGGUGGUUUGUUGUCGUGGUUGGGACUGAGGUGCCUACAAUGUGCUUUUGAGUGUGCCGGGUUCUCAUUUGGUGGACUGUUUGGAUAGCUUGCUAUGCUUGUGGUUUUUUCAUCGAGUGAUUGAGUCUGGCGGUAACUUGUUGCUGUUCGGGACUUUG